UUGUUGUAUGACAGGAGAGGAGGUUAGCGCCUUCCUCGACAGGGACGCCAGGGGUCCUGCUGGCCUUCCGCCCACAUGUGGUUAAGUCGUUGCUGCCUACUUGGGAUCUCACAUCAGUAUUUU